rnacentral:rRNA from 1 species
UGGGGAAUUUUGGUCAAUGGGGGAAACCCUGAUCCAGCCAUCCCGCGUGUGCGAUGAAGGCCUUCGGGUUGUAAAGCACUUUUGGCAGGAAAGAAACGUCAUGGGUUAAUACCCCGUGAAACUGACGGUACCUGCAGAAUAAGCACCGGCUAACUACGCGCCAGCAGCCGCGGUAAUACGUAGGGUGCAGGCGUUAAUCGGAAUUACUGGGCGUAAAGCGUGCGCAGGCGGUUCGGAAAGAAAGAUGUGAAAUCCCAGAGCUCAACUUUGGAACUGCAUUUUUAACUACCGGGCUAGAGUGUGUCAGAGGGAGGUGGAAUUCCGCGUGUAGCAGUGAAAUGCGUAGAUAUGCGGAGGAACACCGAUGGCGAAGGCAGCCUCCUGGGAUAACACUGACGCUCAUGCACGAAAGCGUGGGGAGCAAACAGG